rnacentral:lncRNA from 1 species
CAAGGUUUUCUCUGUUGGAUGCAUGAAAAGAGUGUCCGUAGUCCAUGGGCUAUCUGAACACAAGGCUUGAUUUCAACAUAGCCUACCGCUUCCCAGAAAGCACAGGAAUGCUCUUCGGAUCUUGUUCCCGCAUGGCUCCAUUGAAAUAUCUAGACAUAAUCAAAUCAGGCAAUGAGUUACCCAUGAAUGGUACAAUUUUAAUAUAUCCCAGCUGAAGACUUCAGCUGCCAAUCAGAAAAAAAGCAAGAACUGGAUAAGGGACUUCAUUAUUUUGACACAAGUUAUAUAUGCCAUCAAGAAAUGACGUCAAAGCCAAUUACUAGGCCUUUUUUCUUUUUUCAACGAAAACAUGUCUCAGGUGUCACUUAAAUCAAUCCUUUCCUCAAGCUGCUUGCACCUGUAUUGGUUAUAAAGUAGACAUACAAUGGCGUCCCAUUGAAGACGUUGAAUUUAUGCACGGUCGAAUUGAUCUAAAUAGCCUCUCCACUUGCCAUACGACGACACAAUAAUUUACCGGUAAGCAAUAAAAGUGCAGCAAUGGUAGGCAGAUCACAGUUAGAAAACAGAGCACUAAUUCAAAGUUUUUCCAACUAUCUUCAAUCUUGAUGCUCCAUUCAAGCUAAUACCACUUAUAGUGCCAUAUAGAAGUGGGUUCCUUCAUUUCGCAUCAAAACUCGUACCGCCUCCUUAUUCUCUCAGAAAGGGAAAGAUGGCUUCCGGAGCCACCCCUUGCAUCUGAAGAUGAAUAUAGAGGACCCUUCUGCUCGGUUCUCGGAAACAAUACUAUCUGGUGUAUGCACACACCUUCGAUCGAGGUGCACAGCACCCGGAAAAUUAGCUGUUUUAAUGAAGUCUUUGGCUAGAGAGCGGUCAACCAAUCUACAGAUGGCUCAAGAGACUACAUAUUGACACAACCAGAAAAUUGCCUCGUCGAAUCCGCGCAAAGGGAAACGGAAAAGAAUUCAAGGCGAGACGGGACGGCGACACAGUGCUAAAGGAUGCGCUGUAUUGGGCAGCAAAAAACGAGUACCAAGAUGCAGCUAAUGAACAGCAAAUGUAGGUCAUCAAACCAUAGAUUUCUCAUCCAUUAAAUGCUAAUUAGAUCCAUCCAGUUUCAAGCAUGCUCCAUGGAGAAAAGAGAAAUAGCCCCUUUUUUCUUUCCCAACAGGCCUUCAUCACUUUAAAGCAUCUCCCUCUCUCUCUCUCUCUCUCUCAUUGAAAAGAGAAAAGAGAGAAGUUUCCGGAUAAUUUCCUGCCGUCUACGAAGAACCCAAUCAUCCUACACCGAAAACGGGAUACGGCACAUGCUUCCAGCCAAAAUUCACCAUGAACUUCGAGCGGAAUCGUGCGAACCUGGGACGACCAUCGGGUCAGGAGACGUCCUUGACGUUGUUCACGAAGGCGGCGGAGCAGAGGAUGGCGGCGACGAACGCGAAGAAUCCCAGGCCGACCGCCAGAGAAAUCCCGGCGACCGCCAGAUCCAUCGCGCACUGCAGGCUCACGCCCAUCAUCGGCGUCGGGGAUUCGGAACGGGCGUUCCGCAAUUACGCUUCCGAGCCCGGAUUUCUACGCGAGAAAUCGACUGGCGAAUGAACGAGGCGGGUUAGAUUUCGCGAACGGAAAGCAGGAAGGAGGAUCGACCUCGAUCGGUG